UGGCGGCGUGCCUAAUACAUGCAAGUCGAACGAGUUCUCGUUGAUGAUCGGUGCUUGCACCGAGAUUCAACAUGGAACGAGUGGCGGACGGGUGAGUAACACGUGGGUAACCUGCCCUUAAGUGGGGGAUAACAUUUGGAAACAGAUGCUAAUACCGCAUAGAUCCAAGAACCGCAUGGUUCUUGGCUGAAAGAUGGCGUAAGCUAUCGCUUUUGGAUGGACCCGCGGCGUAUUAGCUAGUUGGUGAGGUAACGGCUCACCAAGGCGAUGAUACGUAGCCGAACUGAGAGGUUGAUCGGCCACAUUGGGACUGAGACACAGCCCAAACUCCUACGGGAGGCAGCAGUAGGGAAUCUUCCACAAUGGACGCAAGUCUGAUGGAGCAACGCCGCGUGAGUGAAGAAGGCUUUCGGGUCGUAAAACUCUGUUGUUGGAGAAGAAUGGUCGGCAGAGUAACUGUUGUCGGCGUGACGGUAUCCAACCAGAAAGCCACGGCUAACUACGUGCCAGCAGCCGCGGUAAUACGUAGGUGGCAAGCGUUAUCCGGAUUUAUUGGGCGUAAAGCGAGCGCAGGCGGUUUUUUAAGUCUGAUGUGAAAGCCCUCGGCUUAACCGAGGAAGCGCAUCGGAAACUGGGAAACUUGAGUGCAGAAGAGGACAGUGGAACUCCAUGUGUAGCGGUGAAAUGCGUAGAUAUAUGGAAGAACACCAGUGGCGAAGGCGGCUGUCUGGUCUGUAACUGACGCUGAGGCUCGAAAGCAUGGGUAGCGAACAGGAUUAGAUACCCUGGUAGUCCAUGCCGUAAACGAUGAAUGCUAGGUGUUGGAGGGUUUCCGCCCUUCAGUGCCGCAGCUAACGCAUUAAGCAUUCCGCCUGGGGAGUACGACCGCAAGGUUGAAACUCAAAGGAAUUGACGGGGGCCCGCACAAGCGGUGGAGCAUGUGGUUUAAUUCGAAGCAACGCGAAGAACCUUACCAGGUCUUGACAUCUUUUGAUCACCUGAGAGAUCAGGUUUCCCCUUCGGGGGCAAAAUGACAGGUGGUGCAUGGUUGUCGUCAGCUCGUGUCGUGAGAUGUUGGGUUAAGUCCCGCAACGAGCGCAACCCUUAUGACUAGUUGCCAGCAUUUAGUUGGGCACUCUAGUAAGACUGCCGGUGACAAACCGGAGGAAGGUGGGGAUGACGUCAAAUCAUCAUGCCCCUUAUGACCUGGGCUACACACGUGCUACAAUGGAUGGUACAACGAGUUGCGAGACCGCGAGGUCAAGCUAAUCUCUUAAAGCCAUUCUCAGUUCGGACUGUAGGCUGCAACUCGCCUACACGAAGUCGGAAUCGCUAGUAAUCGCGGAUCAGCACGCCGCGGUGAAUACGUUCCCGGGCCUUGUACACACCGCCCGUCACACCAUGAGAGUUUGUAACACCCGAAGCCGGUGGCGUAACCCUUUUAGGGAGCGAGCCGUCUAAGGUGGGACAAAUGAUUAGGGUGAAGUAA
rnacentral:rRNA from 1 species